rnacentral:rRNA from 1 species
ACUUUAGGCAAUGACACCUAGAAAAACCAACAAUGUAAUUUCACCAAGCAUGAUAAGCAGGGUCGGGCCUUCAAAGUACUUGGCUGGGAGACUGCCUGGGAAUACCGGGUGCUGUAAGCA